rnacentral:lncRNA from 1 species
UGGGGCUGCGGGAGUUCGGCUCCCGUAGGUGAAGUCGGGGUGAGGUCUGGCUCCCGUGGGAGUCCGAACGGGGUCUACCUGUAAUUGAAGUCAGGCAAAAUUUGGCUCCCGUGGGAGUCCGGGUGGAGCUUACCAGCGUUCGAAGUCGAGGACGAAGCUCGGCUCCCGUAGGAGUCCGGACGAAGUUUGCCUACAGCCAAAGUUGGAGGAGGAGUCUGGCUCCCGUAAGAGCCCGGAUGGAGUCUUCUUAUGAUCAGAGUCGAGGGAGAAGUCCGGCUCCCGCAGGAGUCCGGACGGAGUUUUAUCAUGAAGGGGCCGCUGGGGAAGGUCUCCCUUUUUCUCAUCUGGUCUUGAAUGACCAGACCUUAAUUGAUGUCGGGGCGAGGUUCUUUCCUUAUUUCUGUCGUAACAAGGUUCAGCUCUGGUUAGGGCGAGGUUCACCUCUUGUCCCUAACACGGCUGUAGGGGCAC